UUGUGAGAGGAAGGAGGGAGGGAUUAAGGGAGGAGCAAAACUGAGACUCAAGUACAGAAAAGACAGAAACUUUCACAGUGGUGUUUCAUCCAAAAAACAGACAGAUUGUCUUUAUCUUUAAGAUGCUGUCAGUGAACUUCAGUCUGUUUGUGACUUUGUUUCUGCUCACAAUAAGAGGUGUCAGCUGUGAAGAACUCACUGCAGUCAAGAAACAAGAGUCCAGUUUAGAAGACAGCACUGUUACUCUGUCCUACACAUACUCCAGAAAAGCAACUGACAUGAAACACUGGCUGAGAAACAUCCUGAUUCUGACUCUCUGGCUAGAGUGUAAAGGAGAAGACAGAGUGACCCAGCCACCAGGAGAUGUCUUUGCUACUGAAGGAGAGACAGUUACACUUGAAUGUACAUUUGAGACCAGUGCCACAAGUCCAACUUUGUUCUGGUACAAACAGGAUGGAAACAACAGCCCCAAAUUCAUACUGAGCCGCAUUCAACGAGAUGAAGGGAACACAGCAGAGAAGUUCAAGGAGAGAUUUUCAUCCGCAGUAAAUUCCACCUCAAGAUCAGUUCCUCUAAAGAUCCAGAAGCUUCAGCUGUCUGACUCUGCUGUGUACUACUGUGCUCUGCAGCCCACAGUGACAGGAAACACCAAAACUCUGUACAAAAACCUUUGGAGCAAAGACAACAGAAUACUCCACAACAUCCACUAGAGGGAGUCACACACUGUUAAACUUCAAUGCCAUGUGAUGAUACAUUGUUGAUUCUGUGUAGUGAAUUAAAGAUAAAACACAGAAUAGAAAA